GAUGAACGCUGGCGGCGUGCCUAAUACAUGCAAGUCGAGCGAACGGACGAGAAGCUUGCUUCUCUGAUGUUAGCGGCGGACGGGUGAGUAACACGUGGAUAACCUACCUAUAAGACUGGGAUAACUUCGGGAAACCGGAGCUAAUACCGGAUGAUAUUUUGAACCGCAUGGUUCAAAAGUGAAAGACGGUCUUGCUGUCACUUAUAGAUGGAUCCGCGCUGCAUUAGCUAGUUGGUAAGGUAACGGCUUACCAAGGCAACGAUGCAUAGCCGACCUGAGAGGAUGAUCGGCCACACUGGAACUGAGACACGGUCCAGACUCCUACGGGAGGCAGCAGUAGGGAAUCUUCCGCAAUGGGCGAAAGCCUGACGGAGCAACGCCGCGUGAGUGAUGAAGGUCUUCGGAUCGUAAAACUCUGUUAUUAGGGAGGAACAUAUGUGUAAGUAACUGUGCACAUCUUGACGGUACCUAAUCAGAAAGCCACGGCUAACUACGUG
rnacentral:rRNA from 1 species